AUGAUGGAAGCUUGCUUCCUGAUUUAGCGGCGGACGGGUGAGUAAUGCCUAGGAAUCUGCCUGUUAGUGGGGGAUAACGUUCCGAAAGGAACGCUAAUACCGCAUACGUCCUACGGGAGAAAGUGGGGGAUCUUCGGACCUCACGCUAACAGAUGAGCCUAGGUCGGAUUAGCUAGUAGGUGAGGUAAUGGCUCACCUAGGCUACGAUCCGUAACUGGUCUGAGAGGAUGAUCAGUCACACUGGAACUGAGACACGGUCCAGACUCCUACGGGAGGCAGCAGCGGGGAAUAUUGGACAAUGGGCGAAAGCCUGAUCCAGCCAUGCCGCGUGUGUGAAGAAGGUCUUCGGAUUGUAAAGCACUUUAAGUUGGGAGGAAGGUCUGUAAGUUAAUACCUUGCAGUCUUGACGUUACCAACAGAAUAAGCACCGGCUAACUCUGUGCAACAGCCGCGGUAAUACAGAGGGUGCAAGCGUUAAUCGGAAUUACUGGGCGUAAAGCGCGCGUAGGUGGUUUGGUAA
rnacentral:rRNA from 1 species